GCAGGGCUGAAACGAUUCGUCGAGUGAUUCGAGCACCUCGAUUGUUAAAAUUCCUCAAAGAAAAUUUAUCUGCCUCGAAGUUAAGUUAUGUUUUAUUGUUUAAUGCACCGUGUUCCGGCCGGGUUAUUACUUGCGUUGCACAGCGCUCCCACUUCCGCCUGAGUUGUUGUCGGGGAGGAGCGCUGCAGGUGUAUUUAUACAGAACGCUGAGUCUUGUCCUCUGGCUGAAAAUGACGUCAUUGAGAAAGACUUCGCAAACGUAGAGGCCUCCAUCUUUCAAAUCAGGCCCAGUGAAGCCGGACAUAGUCACCCUGGCUGCUGGGACAGACCAGGAGGAAGGAUUUUUGAGCCUGAGUGGCAGUGGAGAUCUCAUUUCCUGCAGGUAAAGGAAUGGAAGCAGAGAUUCCGGGUUUGAUGUUUAUCUUCAAUGAAAGAAACAACAAUCGUAUGAUUUUCCUCAGUUCUUCUGCUCACCGUCAACUCUCACGUCCACACGCACAGUCAGCACGCCGCUGGAGUUACCCUGGGGGUAAACCGUACAGGUGGAAAGCCGCCAGGUGCCGUCCAGGUGAUUUCGGAGACAGAAAUGUCAGGAAUGGCUCUGGCGAACAGCCGCAGGGUGCUGUACUGACGGACGGGCAGAGGGGGAAAGAAGCCAACUGGAGAGAAGGAAGGAUACAGGAAGCUAACAUUAGAAUAAAGCAUGCUAACUUUUAAUCCUUCUCUUUAUUUAUUUGGUACCAUUUACAGUAAGGCUCCCAUUAUAGAUGGCUAAUAAAUAGUUUAUAGAUAUGUUAUCCAUUCAUCUAUAAACACCUUAUAAAUUAUUAAUAACUGAUUCCAUAUUAUGCAUUAAUGACAAGCGAGAAGGAAACUAUAUGCUAAUACAUUUACAAAUGAUAAUCUGAAAUGUUUAGUAUUAGAACUCUGUACUAAAGUUUACAGUGAUGAAUAUCUGUGGUAGAAAUCAUUACAUCAGAGAUGUACAGAAAUAUUGAUCGAUCAGUUCUGGUUGUUUGGAUGUUUUAGAAAGUCAGAGUUUCUAAAGAGCAAUCAGAACUGUGUGUGUGGGUGCAUGUGGGCAUGUGUGUGUGAUCCAAUCUACUAGAGUAAAAAGCACAUGAGCACCAGCACCAAAAGAAACCACAUAUUGAUCAAGAAAAGUAUUCCUGCAAGAGUAUUUCCAUCCUCCGCAGCUCAUUGAAGUUGGGCUUAAAAUAUUUAGAUUUCUGCAUCUUAAAAGGAGGAAUUUGUGGUCAAAUAUCUCUGAAACACUGAAUCAAAUU